UACGAAGGGAGCGAGCGUUGUUCGGAAUUACUGGGCGUAAAGCGUGCGCAGGCGGUUUUGUAAGUCAGAUGUGAAAUCCCCGGGCUUAACCUGGGAACUGCGUUUGAAACUACAAGGCUAGAGUGUGGCAGAGGGGGGUGGAAUUCCACGUGUAGCAGUGAAAUGCGUAGAGAUGUGGAGGAACACCGAUGGCGAAGGCAGCCCCCUGGGUUAACACUGACGCUCAGGCACGAAAGCGUGGGGAGCAAACAUG
rnacentral:rRNA from 1 species